rnacentral:rRNA from 1 species
UACGUAGGGGGCUAGCGUUGUCCGGAUUUAUUGGGCGUAAAGAGCGUGUAGGCGGCCAGGUAGGUCCGUUGUGAAAACUCGAGGCUCAACCUCGAGACGUCGGGCGGAAACCAUCUGGCUAGAGUCCGGAAGAGGAGAGUGGGAAUUCCUGGUGUAGCGGUGAAAUGCGCAGAUAUCAGGAAGAACACCCGUGGCGAAGGCGGCUCUCUGGGGACGGUACUGACGCUGAGACGCGAAAGCGUGGGGAGCAAACAGG